rnacentral:rRNA from 1 species
GGAAACGCCGACUAAUACCCCAUAGUAUCACUUUUAGGCAUCUUUUAGUGAUUAAAGAACUUCGGAAACGGAUAGGCUCGCGUGACAUUAGCUAGAUGGCGGGGUAACGGCCCACCAUGGCGACGAUGUCUAGGGGUUCUGAGAGGAAGGUCCCCCACACUGGAACUGAGACACGGUCCAGACUCCUACGGGAGGCAGCAGUGAGGAAUAUUGGUCAAUGGUCGGAAGACUGAACCAGCCAUGCCGCGUGAAGGUCACGGCCCUAUGGGUCUUAAACUUCUUUUGUUAGGGAGCAAUAAGGUCUACGUGUAGACUGAUGAGAGUACCUAACGAAUAAGCAUCGGCUAACUCCGUGCCAGCAGCCGCGGUAAUACGGGGGAUGCAAGCGUUAUCCGGAUUUAUUGGGUUUAAAGGGUGCGUAGGCGGUCUGUUAAGUCAGCGGUGAAAUUUAGGGGCUCAACCUCUACCGUGCCGUUGAUACUGGCAGUCUGGAAUGCGGAUGCCGUGGGAGGAAUGUGUGGUGUAGCGGUGAAAUGCAUAGAUAUCACACAGAACACCGAUUGCGAAGGCAUCUCACGAAUCCGCGAUUGACGCUGAGGCACGAAAGCGUGGGGAUCAAACAGGAUUAGAUACCCUGGUAGUCCACGCUGUAAACGAUGAUAACUAACUGUCGGCGAUACACUGUCGGUAGCCAAGCGAAAGCGAUAAGUUAUCCACCUGGGGAGUACGACCGCAAGGUUGAAACUCAAAGGAAUUGACGGGGGCCCGCACAAGCGGAGGAACAUGUGGUUUAAUUCGAUGAUACGCGAGGAACCUUACCCGGGCUCGAACGGCAGGGGAAUAAUCCAGAGAUGGAUUAGUCUUCGGACUCCUGUCGAGGUGCUGCAUGGUUGUCGUCAGCUCGUGCUGUGAAGUGUCGGCUUAAGUGCCAUAACGAGCGCAACCCUUGCCGUUAGUUGCCAUCAGGUAAUGCUGGGGACUCUAGCGGGACUGCCACCGCAAGGUGUGAGGAAGGGGGGGAUGACGUCAAAUCAGCACGGCCCUUACGUCCGGGGCGACACACGUGUUACAAUGGUGAGUACAGAGGGAAGCUACCUGGCGACAGGAUGCAGAUCUCGAAAGCUCAUCCCAGUUCGGA